rnacentral:rRNA from 1 species
GACGAACGCUGGCGGCGUGCUUAACACAUGCAAGUCGUACGGUAAGGCCCUUUCGGGGGUUCCCGAGUGGCGGACGGGUGAGUAACACGGGAGUAACCUCCCCACAACAUUGGGAUAACGCUAGGAAACUGGUGCUAAUACUGGAUAUGUGCUCCUGCUGCAUGGUGGGUGUUGGAAAGCUCCGGCGGUUGUGGAUGGAUUCGCGGCCUAUCAGCUUGUUGGUGGGGUAGUGGCCUACCAAGGCGGCGACGGGUAGCCGGCAUGAGAGGGUGACCGGCCACAUUGGGACUGAGAGACGGCGCAGACGCCUACGGGAGGCAGCAGUGGGGAAUAUUGCACAAUGGGCGCAAGCCUGAUGCAGAAACGCCGCGUGCGGGAUGACGGCCUUCGGGUUGUAAACCGCUUUCAGCAGGGACGAAGCUUUUUGUGACGGUACCUGCAGAAGAAGCACCGGCUAACUACGUG